rnacentral:rRNA from 1 species
UACAGAGGUGGCAAGCGUUGUUCGGAAUUACUGGGCGUAAAGGGCGCGUAGGCGGCCAUCUAAGUCAGACGUGAAAUCCCCCGGCUUAACCUGGGAACUGCGUCUGAUACUGGAGGGCUCGAGUGCGGGAGAGGGAUGUGGAAUUCCAGGUGUAGCGGUGAAAUGCGUAGAUAUCUGGAGGAACACCGGUGGCGAAGGCGGCAUCCUGGACCGACACUGACGCUGAGGCGCGAAAGCUAGGGUAGCAAACGGG